rnacentral:tRNA from 1 species
UAUGUUUAGGUGUAAGAUGCACAGUGAAUUUUGAUUUCAUAAGGUAUAGUUUAAUUCUAUAAAGCAUAA